AUAUAAAAAUUGUCGUUCUCCUUAUGGUAUCUAGUAGUGACGUUUUGUCCUCCAACCAUUAUACAUAUUUAACUUACUAUUUUUUUUUAGAUGGCUGUACACCAGAUAUACUCAGGACAUAUUGAAUCAUGAAUUACCAUUUCUACCACAUGGGAAAGUUUCAACAUCCUACGUUGAAAAUGGACUGGACGAUCCUGAUAAUAAUAAUAGUUUUAUGCAUAAUGGCUGUACACCAGAUAUACUCAGGACAUAUUGAAACAUGAAUUACCAUUUCUACCACAUGGGAAAGUUUCAACAUCCUACGUUGAAAAUGGACUGGACGAUCCUGAUAAUAAUAAUAGUUUUAUGCAUAAUGGCUGUACACCAGAUAUACUCAGGACAUAUUGAAACAUGAAUUACCAUUUCUACCACAUGGGAAAGUUUCAACAUCCUACGUUGAAAAUGGACUGGACGAUCCUGAUAAUAAUAAUAGUUUUAUGCAUAGUACGAGUAAUGGAUAUUGAAUAUAAUUGAUAGUCAAUUAAUAUUAGUGUAACAAAAAAUGGCUGUACACCAGAUAUACUCAGGACAUAUUGAAUCAUGAAUUACCAUUUCUACCACAUGGGAAAGUUUCAACAUCCUACGUUGAAAAUGGACUGGACGAUCCUGAUAAUAAUAAUAGUUUUAUGCAUAGUACGAGUAAUGGAUAUUGAAUAUAAUUGAUAGUCAAUUAAUAUUAGUGUAACAAAAAAUGGCUGUACACCAGAUAUACUCAGGACAUAUUGAAACAUGAAUUACCAUUUCUACCACAUGGGAAAGUUUCAACAUCCUACGUUGAAAAUGGACUGGACGAUCCUGAUAAUAAUAAUAGUUUUAUGCAUAAUGGCUGUACACCAGAUAUACUCAGGACAUAUUGAAACAUGAAUUACCAUUUCUACCACAUGGGAAAGUUUCAACAUCCUACGUUGAAAAUGGACUGGACGAUCCUGAUAAUAAUAAUAGUUUUAUGCAUAGUACGAGUAAUGGAUAUUGAAUAUAAUUGAUAGUCAAUUAAUAUUAGUGUAACAAAAAAUGGCUGUACACCAGAUAUACUCAGGACAUAUUGAAACAUGAAUUACCAUUUCUACCACAUGGGAAAGUUUCAACAUCCUACGUUGAAAAUGGACUGGACGAUCCUGAUAAUAAUAAUAGUUUUAUGCAUAAUGGCUGUACACCAGAUAUACUCAGGACAUAUUGAAACAUGAAUUACCAUUUCUACCACAUGGGAAAGUUUCAACAUCCUACGUUGAAAAUGGACUGGACGAUCCUGAUAAUAAUAAUAGUUUUAUGCAUAGUACGAGUAAUGGAUAUUGAAUAUAAUUGAUAGUCAAUUAAUAUUAGUGUAACAAAAAAUGGCUGUACACCAGAUAUACUCAGGACAUAUUGAAACAUGAAUUACCAUUUCUACCACAUGGGAAAGUUUCAACAUCCUACGUUGAAAAUGGACUGGACGAUCCUGAUAAUAAUAAUAGUUUUAUGCAUAGUACGAGUAAUGGAUAUUGAAUAUAAUUGAUAGUCAAUUAAUAUUAGUGUAACAAAAAAUGGCUGUACACCAGAUAUACUCAGGACAUAUUGAAACAUGAAUUACCAUUUCUACCACAUGGGAAAGUUUCAACAUCCUACGUUGAAAAUGGACUGGACGAUCCUGAUAAUAAUAAUAGUUUUAUGCAUAGUACGAGUAAUGGAUAUUGAAUAUAAUUGAUAGUCAAUUAAUAUUAGUGUAA